rnacentral:rRNA from 1 species
UACGAAGGGGGCUAGCGUUGCUCGGAAUUACUGGGCGUAAAGGGCGUGUAGGCGGGUAGAUAAGUCGGGCGUGAAAUCCCUAGGCUCAACCUAGGAACUGCACUCGAAACUGUUUAUCUUGAGUGCCGGAGAGGAAAGCGGAAUUCCUGGUGUAGAGGUGAAAUUCGUAGAUAUCAGGAGGAACACCAGUGGCGAAGGCGGCUUUCUGGACGGUAACUGACGCUGAGACGCGGAAAGCGUGGGGAGCAAACAGG